rfam:Streptomyces silvensis strain ATCC 53525 53525_Assembly_Contig_23, whole genome shotgun sequence.
AGCCGAAACGCCCCUCGGGGCGUCCGCGGGGACUGGCCUACCCGCGCUGAUGAGGCAGGCCGUA